UUGACCUCGAUCAGGUAGUUCCACG
rnacentral:rRNA from 1 species